GGGUUGUGAGGUUAAGCGACUAAGCGUACACGGUGGAUGCCCUGGCAGUCAGAGGCGAUGAAGGGCGUGCUAAUCUGCGAUAAGCGCCGGUAAGGUGAUAUGAACCGUUAUAACCGGCGAUACCCGAAUGGGGAAACCCAGUGUGACUCGUCACACUAUCAUUAACUGAAUCCAUAGGUUAAUGAGGCGAACCGGGGGAACUGAAACAUCUAAGUACCCCGAGGAAAAGAAAUCAACCGAGAUUCCCCCAGUAGCGGCGAGCGAACGGGGAGGAGCCCAGAGCCUGAAUCAGCAUGUGUGUUAGUGGAAGCGUCUGGAAAGGCGCGCGAUACAGGGUGACAGCCCCGUACACAAAAGCGCAUGUGCUGUGAGCUCGAUGAGUAGGGCGGGACACGUGGUAUCCUGUCUGAAUAUGGGGGGACCAUCCUCCAAGGCUAAAUACUCCUGACUGACCGAUAGUGAACCAGUACCGUGAGGGAAAGGCGAAAAGAACCCCGGCGAGGGGAGUGAAAAAGAACCUGAAACCGUGUACGUACAAGCAGUGGGAGCACCCUUUUGGGUGUGACUGCGUACCUUUUGUAUAAUGGGUCAGCGACUUAUAUUCUGUAGCAAGGUUAACCGAAUAGGGGAGCCG
rnacentral:rRNA from 1 species